AUAUUGUUCAAUAGGCGAAGCCUGAUCCAGCCAUGCCGCGUGUGUGAAGAAGGUCUUCGGAUUGUAAAGCACUUUACGUUGGGAGGAAGGGCAGUAAGUUAAUACCUUGCUGUUUUGACGUUACCGACAGAAUAAGCACCGGCUAACUUCGUGCCAGCAGCCGCGUUAAUACGAAGGGUGCAAGCGUUAAUCGUAAUUACUGGGCGUAAAUGGCGCGUAGGUGGGUUGUUGAGUUGGAAGUGAAAGCCCCGGGCUCGACCUGGGAACUGCUUUCAUAACUGCUGAGCUAGAGUACGGUAGAGGGUAGUGGAAUUUCCUGUGUAGCGGUGAAAUGCGUAGAUAUAGGAAGGAACACCAGUGGCGAAGGAGACUACCUGGACUGAUACUGACACUGAGGUGCGAAAGCGUGGGGAGCAAAC
rnacentral:rRNA from 1 species